rnacentral:tRNA from 1 species
GAUAAGAUAGUUUAAUUUAAAAUGCCUGGUUUUACGCAUUGGCGAUGGUCUUGUGGCCUAUUAUCA